UUCUAUGGAAGCUUGCUUCCACUGAGAAGAUAGUGGCGAACGGGUGAGUAACACGUGGGUAACCUGCCCAUAAGAGGGGGAUAACAUCCGGAAACGGGUGCUAAUACCGCAUAGUUUUCUUGAUCGCAUGAUUGAGAAAGGAAAGACGGCCUUUGUGCUGUCGCUUAUGGAUGGACCCGCGGCGUAUUAGUUAGUUGGUGAGGUAAUGGCUCACCAAGACGAUGAUACGUAGCCGACCUGAGAGGGUGAUCGGCCACAUUGGGACUGAGACACGGCCCAAACUCCUACGGGAGGCAGCAGUAGGGAAUCUUCCGCAAUGGACGAAAGUCUGACGGAGCAACGCCGCGUGAGUGAAGAAGGUUUUCGGAUCGUAAAACUCUGUUGUCAGAGAAGAACAAGUUGGAGAGUAACUGCUCCAGCCUUGACGGUAUCUGACCAGAAAGCCACGGCUAACUACGUGCCAGCAGCCGCGGUAAUACGUAGGUGGCAAGCGUUGUCCGGAUUUAUUGAGCGUAAAGCGAGCGCAGGCGGUUCCUUAAGUCUGAUGUGAAAGCCCACGGCUCAACCGUGGAAGGUCAUUGGAAACUGGGGAACUUGAGUGCAGAAGAGGAGAGUGGAAUUCCAUGUGUAGCGGUGAAAUGCGUAGAUAUAUGGAGGAACACCAGUGGCGAAGGCGACUCUCUGGUCUGUAACUGACGCUGAGGCUCGAAA
rnacentral:rRNA from 1 species